rnacentral:rRNA from 1 species
GUAGGUGGCAAGCGUUGUCCGGAAUUAUUGGGCGUAAAGCGCGCGCAGGCGGUUCUUUAAGUCUGAUGUGAAAGCCCACGGCUCAACCGUGGAGGGUCAUUGGAAACUGGAGGAACUUGAGUACAGAAGAGGAAAGCGGAAUUCCACGUGUAGCGGUGAAAUGCGUAGAGAUGUGGAGGAACACCAGUGGCGAAGGCGGCUUUCUGGUCUGUAACUGACGCUGAGGCGCGAAAGCGUGGGGAGCAAACAGGGAUUAGAUACCCGUGGUAGUCCACGCCGUAAACGAUGAGUGCUAAGUGUUAGGGGGUUUCCCGCCCCUUAGUGCUGCAGCUAACGCAUUAAGCACUCCGCCUGGGGGAGUACGGCCCGCAAGGCUG